CUGGGGCUUUCAAGUGCGGGAGGAGAAGGAGCAACGUUGUCAUCGAUCCGGGAAAAGAGGCUGAGAAGUAUUGUGUUGUUCCAAGGGAAAUUUGUAGGACUAAAAACUUGUAAUUUGAUGUGCUUGUGUACAAAAAUCUCUUUGGAACCUUCGUUCCAAUAUGUAUGAAAUCAGCUGGUGACCUACAAACUUAUUCCAACUGCAUAUGCAUGGCAUGCAACAAUGUUAACUGAUGUUCUUCUUAUCAAACUAGCUUGGGAUUUAUAAACAGUAAAAUCGAUAACAAAUUUUUAAUCAAAAUUUAUGUUGCAAAUAAAAUAAUAGAGAAAAGCGGUACAUAAUCACAAUUCGAUAUUUGCUGUUUUUUUGUAAUCAAUUUUAUUUGUGCAUAUUUAAUUUCAUCGGAAAGUU
rnacentral:lncRNA from 1 species